GUAUUGAGGUUUAACAGAAAAAAAAACACCUCCCAACACCCCCAACACCCCAAUGCCCCUCAGGGGGAACAUUUAAUGAUCCUUCCGCAGGUUCACCUACGGAAA
rnacentral:misc_RNA from 1 species